UUAAUUACCUGGCAGGGGAGAGCCCUGUCUUUUCAGCCUUGAGUGACUUGGUGUAGUUAGAGGGUGAAGGCCUGUCCUGUGCACUGUGGGCAGGCUGACCCCUGCGAGUGUCUACAAAUGCCCCCAACUGUGAGGAUCUCUGCUACACAAUUUAUGGUCAUGGGGCAUUGCUCUCUAGCUUGCUCCUU
rnacentral:snRNA from 12 species